rnacentral:rRNA from 1 species
AUUGAACGCUGGCGGCAGGCCUAACACAUGCAAGUCGAGCGGAUGAAGGGAGCUUGCUCCUGGAUUCAGCGGCGGACGGGUGAGUAAUGCCUAGGAAUCUGCCUGGUAGUGGGGGAUAACGUCCGGAAACGGGCGCUAAUACCGCAUACGUCCUGAGGGAGAAAGUGGGGGAUCUUCGGACCUCACGCUAUCAGAUGAGCCUAGGUCGGAUUAGCUAGUUGGUGGGGUAAAGGCCUACCAAGGCGACGAUCCGUAACUGGUCUGAGAGGAUGAUCAGUCACACUGGAACUGAGACACGGUCCAGACUCCUACGGGAGGCAGCAGUGGGGAAUAGUGGACAAUGGGCGAAAGCCUGAUCCAGCCAUGCCGCGUGUGUGAAGAAGGUCUUCGGAUUGGAAAGCACUUUAAGUUGGGAGGAAGGGCAGUAAGUUAAUACCUUGCUGUUUUGACGUUACCAACAGAAUAAGCACCGGCUAACUUCGUG